ACUCAAAUGAAUAGACGGGGACUUGCACAAGCAGUGGAUUAUGUGGUUUAAUUCGACGGUAAACGAAGAACCUCACCCGGAUUUGAAACCUAGAUGAAUGUACCCGAAAGGGAUACAGCCUCACAAGGGCAUUUAGGCAGGUGAUGCAUGGCCGUCGUCAGUUCGUGGUUUGAAUUGUUCCCUUAAGUGGGGUAACGAACGCAACCCUCGUUGCCAGUUAUAUUUGUCUGGCGAGACUGCUCCCGCAUCUGGGUAGAAGUCAUUCUUUUUUAGAAUGACUUGUAAGUAGAUGCGGGAGAGGAAGGUGAGGAUGACGCCAGGUCAGCAUGUCCCUCUGAUAUCCGGGGCUACACACAUAAUACAAUCGCUGGGACAACGCGACGCGAAGAGGUAACUCAGAGCAAAUCGUAAUAAACCCAGCGCCAGUUCGGAUUGAGGUCUGCAACUCGACCUCAUGAAGCCGGAAUUGCUAGUAAUCGCGGGUCAGCUAUACCGCGGUGAAUACGUUCUCAAGUCUUGUACACACCGCCCGU
rnacentral:rRNA from 1 species